UAGGGAAUCUUCGGCAAUGGGGGGAACCCUGACCGAGCAACGCCGCGUGAGUGAAGAAGGUUUUCGGAUCGUAAAGCUCUGUUGUUAAGGAAGAACGAGUGUGAGAAUGGAAAGUUCAUGCUGUGACGGUACUUAACCAGAAAGGGACGGCUAACUACGUGCCAGCAGCCGCGGUAAUACGUAGGUGGCAAGCGUUGUCCGGAUUUAUUGGGCGUAAAGCGAGCGCAGGCGGUCAAUUAAGUCUGAUGUGAAAGCCCCCGGCUCAACCAGGGAGGGUCAUUGGAAACUGGUUGACUUGAGUGCAGAAGAGGAGAGUGGAAUUCCAUGUGUAGCGGUGAAAUGCGUAGAUAUAUGGAGGAACACCAGUGGCGAAGGCGACUCUCUGGUCUGUAACUGACGCUGAGGCUCGAAAGCGUGGGGAGCGAACAGG
rnacentral:rRNA from 1 species